rnacentral:tRNA from 1 species
AAAGAAAUAUAUUUAAAAAAAGCUUCUAACUUUUUUAUUAGCAUUAAUAUGUUAAU